GAUGAACGCUAGCGACAGGCCUAACACAUGCAAGUCGAGGGGCAGCGGGGAGGUAGCAAUACCUUUGCCGGCGACCGGCGCACGGGUGAGUAACACGUAUGCAAUCCACCUGUAACAGGGGGAUAACCCGGAGAAAUCCGGACUAAUACCCCAUAAUAUGGGCUCUCCGCAUGGAGGGUCCAUUAAAGAGAGCAAUCUUGGUUACAGACGAGCAUGCGCUCCAUUAGCCAGUUGGCGGGGUGACGGCCCACCAAGGCGACGAUGGAUAGGGGUUCUGAGAGGAAGGUCCCCACAUUGGAACUGAGACACGGUCCAAACUCCUACGGGAGGCAGCAGUGAGGAAUAUUGGUCAAUGGUCGGCAGACUGAACCAGCCAAAGUCGCGUGAGGGAAGACGGCCCUACGGGUUGUAAACCUCUUUUGUCGGAGAGUAAAAGUACGCUACGUGUAGUGUAUUGCAAGUAUGAAUAAGCAUCGGCUAAACUCCGUG
rnacentral:rRNA from 1 species